AGAUUGAACGCUGGCGGCAUGCCUUACACAUGCAAGUCGAACGGCAGCACGGGAGCAAUCCUGGUGGCGAGUGGCGAACGGGUGAGUAAUACAUCGGAACGUGCCCAAUCGUGGGGGAUAACGCAGCGAAAGCUGUGCUAAUACCGCAUAAGAUCUACGGAUGAAAGCAGGGGAUCGCAAGACCUUGCGCGAAUGGAGCGGCCGAUGGCAGAUUAGGUAGUUGGUGAGGUAAAGGCUCGACCAAGCCUUCGAUCUGUAGCUGGUCUGAGAGGACGACCAGCCACACUGGGACUGAGACACGGGCCCAGACUCCUACGGGAGGCAGCAGUGGGGAAUUUGGACAAUGGGCGAAAGCCUGAUCCAGCCAUG
rnacentral:rRNA from 1 species